rnacentral:hammerhead_ribozyme from 1 species
AUCCAUCUGACGAGUCCCAAAUAGGACUAAACUCAUGUCUUGGAU